AUCACACUGGAACCAAAAGAAACUGAUUAUGAGAUAACAGUACCAACAAGUCCGUUAAUGUGCUCAAUAACAGAGAAGCUAUUAGUGAUUACCGUCAUUAAGCCUUUAUAGUACAUAGAAACGAACCCCUCCGCUUGCCUUUUUACCUGAAAUAGACAUCAUUCAUAUAACUCAAAAAAGAAUUGGGAGUCCAAAACAAAAGCACAGCAUCAGCCCCAGGCACACAAUAAAAGGUAAUCCAAAAAUUAUGAGCAAGCGCCUUGGAAUCAGAUCAUACAACUACAAUUUCUUUUUUCUUUUUGCUUUUUGUACACUGUUGAGAAGUCUAUAGAAUCUGAUGAGAAGUCUACAAAAAUAAUGCAGAAACCCAGUCUAUUACCUGGUUUGCUAACAUUGCAGGAGAUAUUCUGCCGGUAUCACCUUCUUCUGGGCAUUUAGGGCAACGCAUCCUGCACCAGAAAUUAGACACAGAUUCCUCUACCUGCAGUUUUGUUGGGUUCGCACUGAUUGACGUACAAAUGGAACCGAAGACAGCGGGACAUUCAAAAGUACCAGAGCAACUGGGACAUGACAAGAGCAAUGGCUCACAGCUCCUAUAUCUGCCAUUCAAUUCAAGAAAAAUCAAACUGACAAAAUGGAAGUUACAAAGAUACAUACUUCUUUUGUAGUUUCAGACGUGAAUAUAAUAUGCCAAUUGCCGUGUCUCAAAUUUAUUACCAAUUUCUUUAAGAACUUGUUAACAACCUUACACUCUUGAAUGGAAUUUAAGCACAAAAGAUACUAACAGCAUUGGAUAAUGAU